rnacentral:lncRNA from 1 species
CUCUUUCCUUCAGCCGCCUCCUUUCAACCUUGUCAACCCGUCGGCGCGGCCUCUGGUGCAGCGGCGGCGGCUCCUGUUCCUGCCGCAGCUCUCUCCCUUUCUUACCUCCCCACCAGAUCCCGGAGAUCGCCCGCCAUGGCUUUACUUACUGCGGCCGCCCGGCUCUUGGGAACCAAGCCCGGCAUGCCAGUGCUUCCUCCACGGUAAGGUUUGGAAAAGAAGACUAAGAAUAAGAAUCAUUGCGGCCAGCCUGACCUUGGGGCAGAGGAUUUGGCAACCACCUGGCCUCUUAUUAUCCUGAGUAUUUCCUGGAAGUGUUUGUUACUAUUGUUAUUGUUAUAGCUGCUAUUAUUAUUAUAUUACUAUUUAACAAAUAAUUUACUCAGUGGUAUAGUGAGAUGGGAAUAUCAAUACAUUUGCCUAAUUCUUUUAAAUGUUUUAAGUAGUGUAAAAUAUACAUAACAUAAAAUUUACCAUUUUAAUCAUUUUUAAGUAUAUGGUUUAGUGGCAGUAGAUAUGUUUACAUUAUUGUGCAACCAUCCAUCUCCAGAACUUUUGU